rnacentral:lncRNA from 1 species
AUCAUUGUUACGUUAUCAUCAUUUACAAGGUUAGCAGUCAGGAUUUCGGUGUUGACAUGAAUACAAAUGUUGGGGUCUAAUCAUUGUUACGUUAUCAUCAUUUAAAAGGUUAGUAGUUAGUACUUCAGUGUUGACAUGAAUACCAAUGUUGGGGUCUAAUCAUUGUUACGUUAUCAUCAUUUAAAAGGUUAGUAGUCAGCAUUUCGGUGUUGACAUGAAUACAAAUGUUGGGGUCUAAUCAUUGUUACGUUAUCAUCAUUUAAAAGGUUAGUAGUCAGCAUUUCGGUGUUGACAUGAAUACAAAGGUUGGGGUCUAAUCAGUGUUACAUUAUCAUCAUUUAAAAGGUUAGUAGUCCGUACUUCAGUGUUGACAUCAAUACCAAUGCUGGGGUCUAAUCAUUGUUACGUUAUUAUCAUUCACAAGGUUAGUAUUCAGCUUUUCGGUGUUGACAUGAAUACAAAAAUUGGGGUCUAAACAUUGUUGAGUUAUCAUCAUUUACAAGGUAAGUAGUCAGCAUUUCGGUGUUGACAUGAAUUUAAAUGUUAAGGUCUAAUCAUUGUUACGUCAUCAUCAUUUAAGAGGUUAGUAGUCAGCAAUUCGGUGUUGACAUGAAUACCAGAGUUGGGGUCUAAUCGUUGUUACGUCAUC